CAGCACCUCAAGUGGUCAGGAUGAUUAUUGGGCCUAAAGCAUCCGUAGCCGGCGCUGUAAGUUUUCGGUUAAAUCUGUACGCUCAACGUACAGGCUGCCGGGAAUACUGCAGCGCUAGGGAGUGGGAGAGGUAGACGGUACUCGGUAGGAAGGGGUAAAAUCCUUUGAUCUAUUGAUGACCACCUGUGGCGAAGGCGGUCUACCAGAGCACGUCCGACGGUGAGGGAUGAAAGCUGGGGGAGCGAACCGGAUUAGAUACCCGAGUAGUCC
rnacentral:rRNA from 1 species